CACAUGCAAGUCGAGGGGUAAGUUCUUCGGAACUAGAGACCGGCGCACGGGUGCUUAACGCGUAUGCAUCUACCUUUUACAGAGGGAUAGCCCAGAGAAAUUUGGAUUAAUACCUCAUAGUAUAUAGCCCUGGCAUCAGGAUUAUAUUAAAGUCACAACGGUAAAAGAUGAGCAUGCGUCCCAUUAGCUAGUUGGUAAGGUAACGGCUUACCAAGGCUACGAUGGGUAGGGGUCCUGAGAGGGAGAUCCCCCACACUGGUACUGAGACACGGACCAGACUCCUACGGGAGGCAGCAGUGAGGAAUAUUGGACAAUGGGCGCAAGCCUGAUCCAGCCAUGCCGCGUGCAGGAUGACGGUCCUAUGGAUUGUAAACUGCUUCUAUACGAGAAGAAACACUCCUUCGUGAAGGAGCUUGAACGGUAUCGUAAGAAUAAGGAUCGGCUAACUCCGUGCCAGCAGCCGCGGAAAUACGGAGGAUCCAAGCGUUAUCCGGAAUCAUUGAGUUUAAAGGGUCCGUAGGCGGUUAAAUAAGUCAGUGGUGAAAGCCCAUC
rnacentral:rRNA from 1 species